AGAGUUUGAUCAUGGCUCAGAACGAACGCUGGUGGCAUUCCUAACACAUGCAAGUCGAACGAAGGCCCUAGCUUGCUAGGUGUCCUUAGUGGCGAACGGGUGAGUAACGCGUGGGAACCUGCCCUAGAGUGGGGAACAACCUUUGGAAACGAAGGCUAAUACCGCAUACGCUCUGAGGAGGAAAGGCUUCGGCCGCUCUUGGAUGGUCCCGCGUCUGAUUAGCUUGUUGGUGGGGUAACAGCCUACCAAGGCGACGAUCAGUAGCUGGUCUGAGAGGAUGAUCAGCCACACUGGGACUGAGACACGGCCCAGACUCCUACGGGAGGCAGCAGUGGGGAAUAUUGGACAAUGGGGGAAACCCCGAUCCAGCAAUGCCGCGUGAGUGAAGAAGGCCCUAGGGUUGUAAAACUCUUUCACUGAUGAAGAUGAUGACGGUAAUCAGAGAAGAAGCCCCGGCUAACUCCGUGCCAGCAGCCGCGGUAAUACGGAGGGGGCUAGCGUUGUUCGGAAUUACUGGGCGUAAAGCGCGCGUAGGCGGACCAAUCAGUUGGGGGUGAAAGCCCGAGGCUCAACCUCGGAACUGCCUUCAAUACUGUUGGUCUUGAGAAUGAGAGAGGAGAGUGGAAUUCCCAGUGUAGAGGUGAAAUUCGUAGAUAUUGGGAAGAACACCAGAGGCGAAGGCGGCUCUCUGGCUCAUUUCUGACGCUGAGGUGCGAAAGCGUGGGGAGCGAACAGGAUUAGAUACCCUGGUAGUCCACGCCGUAAACGAUGAGUGCUAGCUGUCGGGCAGUAUACUGUUCGGUGGCGCAGCUAACGCAUUAAGCACUCCGCCUGGGGAGUACGGUCGCAAGGUUGAAACUCAAAGGAAUUGACGGGGGGCCCGCACAAGCGGUGGAGCAAGGGGGUUUAAUUCGAUGCAACGCCGAAGAAACCUUUCCUGGGCCUUGACAUAUACCUAAACUUUCCCGACAAAGGGAUUGGUGGCCUUCCCGGAAC
rnacentral:rRNA from 1 species